rnacentral:rRNA from 1 species
CCUACGGGAGGCAGCAGUAGGGAAUUUUCCGCAAUGGGCGAAAGCCUGACGGAGCAAUACCGCGUGAGGGAUGACUGCCUAUGGGUUGUAAACCUCUUUUUUCAGGGAGGAACAAAAUGACGUGUACCUGAAGAAUAAGCAUCGGCUAACUCCGUGCCAGCAGCCGCGGUAAGACGGAGGAUGCAAGUGUUAUCCGGAAUCACUGGGCGUAAAGCGUCUGUAGGUGGUUUAAUAAGUCAACUGUUAAAUCUUGAGGCUUAACCUCAAAAUCGCAGUCGAAACUAUUAGACUAGAGUAUAGUAGGGGUAAAGGGAAUUUCCAGUGGAGCGGUGAAAUGCGUAGAGAUUGGAAAGAACACCGAUGGCGAAGGCACUUUACUGGGCUAUUACUGACACUCAGAGACGAAAGCUAGGGUAGCAAAUGGGAUUAGAUACCCCAGUAGUCCUAGCUGUAAACCAUGGAUACUAGAUGUUGAACAGAUCGACCUGUGCAGUAUCAAAGCUAACGCGUUAAGUAUCCCGCCUGGGGAAGUAUGCUCGCAAGAGUGAAACUCAAAUGAAUUGACCGG